rnacentral:sRNA from 1 species
UAUUUUAGUUAAAAGAUUGAACCAAUAAUGAAAAGAGAAAUGAGAAAUUUUCUAUACACUCUCUCCUUUAUUUUCAUUAUUUUU